CAGUCGCCACGGUAAAACGUAGGGUGCAAGCGUUAAUCGGAAUUACUGGGCGUAAAGCGUGCGCAGGCGGUUUGUUAAGACAGAUGUGAAAUCCCCGGGCUCAACCUGGGAACUGCAUUUGUGACUGGCAAGCUAGAGUGUGGCAGAGGGGGGUGGAAUUCCGCGUGUAGCAGUGAAAUGCGUAGAUAUGCGGAGGAACACCGAUGGCGAAGGCAGCCCCCUGGGCCAACACUGACGCUCAUGCGCGAAAGCGUGGGGAGCAAGCAGGAUUAGAUACCCCUGUAGUCCCUGUCUCUUAUAC
rnacentral:rRNA from 1 species